UUAAUGUACACUAUGUGCAAAAAAUAUCGCAAACAGUUUUGUUGUUUUUCAUUCUUGCUUUAUAUAAUUUUCACAAUUUAUUUAUAAAAAUGUAAAGAAUAUGUUAUGCAUAUAUGUGUACGUUUUACCAUAUUUUAAUAGAUAGGUUAGGUUAGGUUAGGUUAGGAUUAGUUUUUUCGGGAAACUGUGCUGGGAGAGCCCCUCUCCCGCACAUAUACGUGUAGUUUACCAUAUUUCGUUUACCGUUUACUUACUACACUUUAUGUAUGCUGUGUUGGUACUAAUGUAAAUUUUUCCGUUAAUAACUUGUUAUUAAACUAUGACUGCCAGCUAAAACUUUUUGAACUUUAUUUAGGGCAGUGACUUUGACGACUUUGACUUUAUCAAGGUCAAGAUUAUUGAAUCUGCCUCCUCUAUGCUCAAUAAUUACCCUUAUUUUAUAAUUACAAUACACUUAGAACGUAUCAAUCACACCUGAUUCACACAAAAUAAAUUUUAUGCGUUGUAUAUGGACAUAGAACAUAUAUUCGCACAAGAAAAUUUAAGAGUGUUUAUCGGAAGUGGAAGUUAUUUUACAUAACCGGUAAAUUCUCCACAAUGUCAACGAAAAGAUCCGCAUGGAAUAUGCGUUGCGGAAAGCUACAACAAAGUCUUAUAUAAAGGAUAUUACACUGAGCACAAACUGGUUUAUGCAAUAUAAUGAUAAAUGAUAAUAGUAAUAAACUUCACGUAAUAGAGAUGCAAGUUGAUGAGAUCAUGGAAGAUUAUAAAUACGAAACGCAGGAGAGAGAACAGUCAAUUCACAUCCACUCCUCCAAAAUAAUUAAAAGCAACGGAGAAGAUCUCAGAUAUAUUCAAGAGAAAUAGAAGAAACUGCGGUUGUAGAAAAUAUUCAGAUUUUCUCACAGAGCACAAUGAAUAUACUCUUUAACAUUUACUUGAUUGUGGUGCUGACAAUUAUAGUGAUACUAAUGGGAAUAUCACAACCUUUAUCGAUUACGCCGCCACAUCCUGUUACUCAUGUGCCAACUUAUCCCAGACCUAUUUAUCCCAACCCUAUUUAUACCCGUCCUACUAUCGUAGGUGUUCGUGAAAGAGCUACUACUUGUCCUCCAAAUUAUCAGAAAGAUCCACGUGGAAUAUGUCGGGAGCAGGUGUAAUAAUAUUACAUGCACGUUGGUGUAAAAUACAGGUUCCAAUAAUAUUUCUAUACAACAACUGCGAAGUAAUAAACUCGAAGUAAUGGAAUAAGACAAGAAACGUAAAAUAAUAUAUGACAUCUUAUUAAUAUGAAUAAAUAAAAAUUUGAUUCGUUGAACAUGUCUGAUAUCACAACAAAACUCCAUUAAUUAUAAUGUUAAAGUCGCCAAGUACCAGUACAAUUACUAAUUGUAUUUAUCAUAGAUAGAGGAUUGUUAUUGUUACCCGUUACACAAUGAAUAAAAUAAGAAGUUAAAGUCA